rnacentral:rRNA from 1 species
GACGAACGCUGGCGGCGUGCUUAACACAUGCAAGUCGAACGGAAAGGCCCUGCUUUUGUGGGGUGCUCGAGUGGCGAACGGGUGAGUAACACGUGAGUAACCUGCCCUUGACUUUGGGAUAACUUCAGGAAACUGGGGCUAAUACCGGAUAGGAGCUCCUGCUGCAUGGUGGGGGUUGGAAAGUUUCGGCGGUUGGGGAUGGACUCGCGGCUUAUCAGCUUGUUGGUGGGGUAGUGGCUUACCAAGGCUUUGACAGGUAGCCGGCCUGAGAGGGUGACCGGCCACAUUGGGACUGAGAUACGGCCCAGACUCCUACGGGAGGCAGCAGUGGGGAAUAUUGCACAAUGGGCGGAAGCCUGAUGCAGCAACGCCGCGUGCGGGAUGACGGCCUUCGGGUUGUAAAGCGCUUUCGCCUGUGACGAAGCGUGAGUGACGGUAAUGGGUAAAGAAGCACCGGCUAACUACGUG